rnacentral:rRNA from 1 species
GACGAACGCUGGCGGCGUGCCUAAUACAUGCAAGUUGAGCGCUGAAGGUUGGUACUUGUACCAACUGGAUGAGCAGCGAACGGGUGAGUAACGCGUGGGGAAUCUGCCUUUGAGCAGGGGACAACAUUUGGAAACGAAUGCUAAUACCGCAUAAAAACUUUAAACACAAGUUUUAAGUUUGAAAGAUGCAAUUGCAUCACUCAAAGAUGAUCCCGCGUUGUAUUAGCUAGUUGGUGAGGUAAAGGCUCACCAAGGCGAUGAUACAUAGCCGACCUGAGAGGGUGGUCGGCCACAUUGGGACUGAGACACGGCCCAAACUCCUACGGGAAGCAGCAGUAGGGAAUCUUCGGCAAUGGACGAAAGUCUGACCGAGCAACGCCGCGUGAGUGAAGAAGGUUCUCGGAUCGUAAAACUCUGUUGGUAGAGAAGAACGUUGGUGAGAGUGGAAAGCUCACCAAGUGACGGUAACUACCCAGAAAGGGACGGCUAACUACGUG